rnacentral:rRNA from 1 species
AUUGAACGCUGGCGGCAUGCCUUACACAUGCAAGUCGAACGGCAGCGCGGGGCAACCUGGCGGCGAGUGGCGAACGGGUGAGUAAUAUAUCGGAACAUACCCUAGAGUGGGGGAUAACGUAGCGAAAGUUACGCUAAUACCGCAUACGCACUAAGGUGGAAAGUGGGGGAUCUUCGGACCUCAUGCUCAUGGAGUGGCCGAUAUCUGAUUAGCUAGUUGGUGAGGUAAAGGCUCACCAAGGCGACGAUCAGUAGCUGGUUUGAGAGAACGACCAGCCACACUGGAACUGAGACACGGUCCAGACUCCUACGGAGGCAGCAGUGAGGAAUUUUGGACAAUGGGGGCAACCCUGAUCCAGCAAUGCCGCGUGAGUGAAGAAGGCCUUCGGUUGUAACGUAGCUUUGUACGGUAACGAAAGGACGUCUGGUUAAUACCUGGGCGACGAUGACGGUACCGUAA